AUUGAACGCUGGCGGAAUGCUUUACACAUGCAAGUCGAGCGGCAGCGCGGGGCAACCUGGCGGCGAGCGGCGAACGGGUGAGUAAUGCAUCGGAACAUGUCCAUGUCGUGGGGGAUAGCCCGGCGAAAGCCGGAUUAAUACCGCAUACGCCCGAGAGGGGAAAGUGGGGACCGCAAGGCCUCACGCGAUUGGGUUGGCCGAUGUCCGAUUAGCUAGUUGGCGGGGUAAGAGCCCACCAAGGCGAUGAUCGGUAGCUGGUCUGAGAGGAUGAUCAGCCACACUGGGACUGAGACACGGCCCAGACUCCUACGGGAGGCAGCAGUGGGGAAUUUGGACAAUGGGGGCAACCCUGAUCCAGCCAUUCCGCGUGAGUGAAGAAGGCC
rnacentral:rRNA from 1 species